UGGCUCAGAUUGAACGCUGGCGGCAGGCCUAACACAUGCAAGUCGAGCGGAUGAGAAGAGCUUGCUCUUCGAUUCAGCGGCGGACGGGUGAGUAAUGCCUAGGAAUCUGCCUGGUAGUGGGGGACAACGUUUCGAAAGGAACGCUAAUACCGCAUACGUCCUACGGGAGAAAGCAGGGGACCUUCGGGCCUUGCGCUAUCAGAUGAGCCUAGGUCGGAUUAGCUAGUUGGUGAGGUAAUGGCUCACCAAGGCGACGAUCCGUAACUGGUCUGAGAGGAUGAUCAGUCACACUGGAACUGAGACACGGCCCAGACUCCUACGGGAGGCAGCAGUGGGGAAUAUUGGACAAUGGGCGAAAGCCUGAUCCAGCCAUGCCGCGUGUGUGAAGAAGGUCUUCGGAUUGUAAAGCACUUUAAGUUGGGAGGAAGGGCAGUAAGCGAAUACCUUGCUGUUUUGACGUUACCGACAGAAUAAGCACCGGCUAACUCUGUGCCAGCAGCCGCGGUAAUACAGAGGGUGCAAGCGUUAAUCGGAAUUACUGGGCGUAAAGCGCGCGUAGGUGGUUUGUUAAGUUGGAUGUGAAAGCCCCGGGCUCAACCUGGGAACUGCAUCCAAAACUGGCAAGCUAGAGUACAGUAGAGGGUGGUGGAAUUUCCUGUGUAGCGGUGAAAUGCGUAGAUAUAGGAAGGAACACCAGUGGCGAAGGCGACCACCUGGACUGAUACUGACACUGAGGUGCGAAAGCGUGGGGAGCAAACAGGA
rnacentral:rRNA from 1 species